UACGUAAGGUGCGAGCGUUAAUCGGAAUUACUGGGCGUAAAGCGUGCGCAGGCGGUUGUGCAAGACAGAUGUGAAAUCCCCGGGCUCAACCUGGGGAACUGCAUUUGUGACUGCACGGCUGGAGUGCGGCAGAGGGGGAUGGAAUUCCGCGUGUAGCAGUGAAAUGCGUAGAUAUGCGGAGGAACACCGAUGGCGAAGGCAAUCCCCUGGGCCUGCACUGACGCUCAUGCACGAAAGCGUGGGGAGCAAACAGG
rnacentral:rRNA from 1 species